UACGGAGGGGACUAGCGUUGUUCGGAAUUACUGGGCGUAAAGCGCACGUAGGCGGAUUUCUAAGUCAGGGGUGAAAUCCUGGAGCUCAACUCCAGAACUGCCUUUGAUACUGGGAAUCUCGAGUCCGGGAGAGGUGAGUGGAACUGCGAGUGUAGAGGUGAAAUUCGUAGAUAUUCGCAAGAACACCAGUGGCGAAGGCGGCUCACUGGCCCGGUACUGACGCUGAGGUGCGAAAGCGUGGGGAGCAAACAGG
rnacentral:rRNA from 1 species